rnacentral:tRNA from 3 species
GGGCGGAUAGCUCAAUUGGGAGAGCGCAGCCCUUACAAGGCUGAGGUCACAGGUUCGAUCCCUGUUCCGCCUACCA